rnacentral:rRNA from 1 species
GAUGAAGCGUUGAAUUGAAGCCCGAGUAAACGGCGGCCGUAACUAUAACGGUCCUAAGGUAGCGAAAUUCCUUGUCGGUUAAAUACCGACCUGCAUGAAUGGCGUAACGAGAUGGGAGCUGUCUCAACCAGAGAUUCAGUGAAAUUGUAGUGGAGGUGAAAAUUCCUCCUACCCGCGGCAAGACGGAAAGACCCCGUGGACCUUUACUACAACUUAGCACUGCUAAUGGGAAUAUCAUGCGCAGGAUAGGUGGGAGGCUUUGAAGUAAGGGCUUUGGCUCUUAUGGAGA